rnacentral:tRNA from 1 species
GAGGAUAUAGCUCAAGAAGUAAAGUGCUUGCCUAGCAUGUAUGAGGCCUUAAGUUCAAUACCCAUUAUCCUCA